UACGUAGGGUGCAAGCGUUGUCCGGAAUUAUUGGGCGUAAAGAGCUCGUAGGUGGCCUGUCGCGUCGGCUGUGAAAACUCGGGGCUCAACUCCGAGCUUGCAGUCGAUACGGGCAGGCUAGAGUUCGGCAGGGGAGAGUGGAAUUCCUGGUGUAGCGGUGAAAUGCGCAGAUAUCAGGAGGAACACCGGUGGCGAAGGCGGGUCUCUGGGCCGAUACUGACACUGAGGAGCGAAAGCGUGGGGAGCGAACAGG
rnacentral:rRNA from 1 species